UCUCUCUUCCCAGCCCCCUUGGGUUCCCGAGACCCCUGAGUUUUUUUUGCAGAACCUUUGUGGGUGCCACCUGGGAAUCUGCCCUUCCAACAAGCCCCAGGAUUCGGAUGCUGCAGUCUCUACUAAGCUUCACCUGUUUGUCUCAGGUGUUACGACCUGGCCAUUAGCAGAGUCAGGAGUGAGUGGAGUGAAUGCACUACCAAUCCCGCCUGAGCUCUCCUCUCCCGAACCUAAGUCGGAGGCAGGUUCUGAGCGGGAUAGGUGCCUGGUACUAGAUAUAUGUUACCAGUGUGUAUCACAUGGUUUCUCAGAUGGAGCCCAGAGUGAGUGAGACAAAGAAGAAAAGUUAACACAGAAAAGCUUUGGAAUUCCUCUGAGAUCUGGAGCUGGAGAGAUGGCACAGUCUUGCUGUUCUUUCCGAGGACUACAGCAGGCUCCAGCACCCAGGAGGCCACUGUUUCUGCCUCUUCCUCCUCCUCACAGACCAGACCUGUGGCAUAUCUCCCGCUGUCUUAAUAUUUCCUUCUCAAGGUAGUUAACAGAUGCACCUGGCUCCAGGUCGGUUGGAAAGAACACAAAGAAAACGCCACCUUGAAAAAAAGUAUCUGACUUUUUUAAAUUAAAAAUUAUUAUUUAUUUAUUU
ensembl:lncRNA LOC120094297 uncharacterized LOC120094297